UGUAGUCUCGCACAGAUGCAUAUCAAUAAGCGGAGGAAAAGCAACUAACAAGGAUUCCCCUAGUAACGGCGAGUGAAGCGGGAAGAGCUCAAAUUUGAAAUCUUAAAGGGUUUCCCUUUACGAAUUGUAGUUUAAAGAAGUGUUUUCUGUUGAGGUUUUGGUAAAAGUUCUUUGGAAUAGGACAUCAUAGAGGGUGAGAAUCCCGUAUUUGACCUUUACUUUCAACUUUGUGAUACACUUUCAAAGAGUCGGAUUGUUUGGGAAUGCAGUCCAAAAUGGGUGGUAAAUUUCAUCUAAAGCUAAAUAUUGGCGAGAGACCGAUAGCGAACAAGUACCGUGAGGGAAAGAUGAAAAGAACUUUGAAAAGAGAGUUAAACAGUACGUGAAAUUGUCAAAAGGGAAGCGUUUGACACCAGUGUUGUUUUUCUGAAAAUCAAUUAAAGAACUGUUUAUGCUAAGUUGUUUAGACUUUAUCAGCUAUCUGCUUAGUUUUGAGCUUUUCUUUAAUGCACUUUUCAGUUAACAAGUCAACAUCAAUUUCUUUUGCUGUAAAAAAGCUUGAGGAAGGUGGCUUGAGAUUCGUCUUAAGUGUUUAUAGCCUCUUGCCUAUGCAGUCGGAGAGAUUGAGGUCUGCAGCGUAGAUCCUUCGGGGCUAAAUGCAUUUGUGCUAAGUUAUAGCAUUUUAUAGACAACUUGUUGACUAUGAUUUGUCUUGUAGCUUACUCGCUUAUGUUAUUUUACCUACGCUUAGGAUGUUGACGCAUGAGAUAUACGC
rnacentral:rRNA from 1 species